rnacentral:rRNA from 1 species
UACAGAGGUCCCGAGCGUUGUUCGGAUUCACUGGGCGUAAAGGGUGCGUAGGUGGCAUGGCAAGUUUGAUGUGAAAGCUCAGGGCUUAACCCUGAAAUGGCAUUGAAUACUGCCGUGCUGGAGGUUUGGAGGGGGGACUGGAAUUCUUGGUGUAGCAGUGAAAUGCGUAGAUAUCAAGAGGAACACCAGUGGCGAAGGCGAGUCCCUGGACAACACCUGACACUGAGGCACGAAAGCCGGGGGAGCAAACAGG